CUGGGGGCUUGAGGAUGUGAGGGGCUUUAGACUACAUAUUGGGUACAGUGUACACUGCUCAGAUGAUGGGUAUACCAGAAUCUCAGAGAUCACCACUAUAGAACUUAUCCAUGUAAUCAAAAACCACCUGUACCCCCAAAACUAUUAAAUAAUAAAAAAAAAAGAAGU